rnacentral:rRNA from 1 species
UACGAACCGUGCGACCGUUAUUCGGAAUCACUGGGCUUAAAGCGCGUGUAGGCGGCCCGGCGCGUCGGAUGCUGAAAUCCCCCGGCUCAACCGGGGAAGGGGCGCCGAUACGGCCGGGCUGGAGGGGGGUAGGGGGCGCUGGAACUCACGGUGGAGCGGUGAAAUGCGUUGAGAUCGUGAGGAACGCCCGCGGCGAAAGCGAGCGCCUGGACCCUUUCUGACGCUGAGACGCGAAAGCCAGGGGAGCGAACGGG